GUCUGCGUCGAUUAGGGGUCAAAUCACUUCGUUGUGGUUGCAAUUGCAAUACCGAAGAGCCACCGGUUCGAAUCCGGUCGCGGACA